AUGCUUCUCCUAAAGACUAAGCCAUGCAUGCCUUCGAAUACGAGGAAGCAAUUCUCUCUGAAUCUGCGAACGGCUCCGCACACCAGUUGUAAACUAUAGCAAGGAAACUUAUAUUCUUUCGGGAGUGUAGGUACAAGGAUAACCCUGGUAAUUCUGAGGCUAAUACGAGAACGUACGUACCUGACUAACCGGGCAACUGGAAAUCAGGAGGUGUGUGAUCUAAGCUGAGGAAUUGCUAGGAACAGUCGCACGCCUGGACCGCGCAAAAGCGAAUGGAGUUUCGGCUUCACUCUAGCGGCACUUGCAAUGUGCUUCUGACCUAUCAACUAGAUGGCAGCGUAACGGACAUGCUAUGGUUACAACGGGUACAGAGGAUAAGGGUUCGAUCCUGGAGAGUGGGCCUGAGAGAUUGCUCAUACUUCUAAGGAAGGCAGCAGGCGCGCAACGUUCCCCUUGUGCAAUGCAUGAGGGCGUUAGGGGAAAUAUGAAUGCUUGCCUUUUAGGUGAGCAAUUCAAAUGGGUUUGUUGUAAACAGGCUC
rnacentral:rRNA from 1 species